AUUUUUGCUAAUUUUAGAGAUAACAAUGUAUCAAAUAAUAAUUUCCUUGUUUAAUAUGAUUUUGUAGAAAGAGAUUUACUUGAGUGGUUGGCUGGUCUUGAACCUGUUCAAGAUGUAUAUGAUAAUGAAAGAGGUGAUCAAGGUGAUAGGGCAGAAAGUGAUGACAAGUUAAGUGAUGAAGACGAAAGUGAUGGGGAGGAAGAAAUCGCCCACUCUGUACCAUUCAAGUGCAUCGGUGCUGCUCAUGAGAAAAACUACUGACAUCAUUUGGAAAAUUAAGGCAUAAUACCUCACUCUUCAUGAACAAGAUAAAACAGUGAAUUCAAUGUAAGAAUACGGCCAGCACCAUUGAAUCCAAGGGACCCAAGUGCAAUGGUCAAUUCCAGCUUUUAGGUUAUGCAUGCAGGGGGUGAUGGGAAGUAAGGUAUCAUAUUGCUGAUAAUGCUGAAAAAAUAGAAAUGGUGGCCAUGUAAACAUGGAGUGGUAGCUAUUGUAAAUAUUGAAAUAUUUUGGUUGUUUAGGCAGUUUAUUAAAAUUUUUCAGCAUAAUUAGCAAUAUGAUACCUUACUUUCCGUCACCCCCUGCAUGCAUAAAUUAAAAGCUGGAAUUGUCUAUUGAUCUAGACUAUGGAACUGUAUGGACACAUUUUGGUUAUAUUGUUUCUGAACUAUGCAAGUAUUUGCACCCACUAAUUGCUGCAGGAGAUGUCGUGGAUGUCUGUGUUCAGUAUAUCAAGUAUAGGGUUGACUUUUUUAAUUAAUUUUAAAAAUAGGAUUUAUGCAAAAAUUUUCAUAAAGACACCUGGGGCCGGUUGUUCAACGGUGGGUUAGCGCUAACCCUGGGUUAAGAUUUAACCUGCUGUUUUAGUUUGUGUACUUCUACACAUAGAUCUGUGUAUUUCAAAACUUCAGAGAAGUAAACUUCUAUUGAUCCAGACAAGAUCUCUGAAGAAAUAUUUCCAAAUUUAUAGAAAAGCUGUCUGGAAGUUUGCUUCGAAUUUUAGGUUAACCAUGGGUUAAACUAACCCAGCUUUGAACAACCGGCCCCUGGUGAGUGGAGACUCGAGUGGUAGGAAAAAGCAUGAGUGUAUUUUGACCGAUGUUUUUUAUAUAAUAAAUAGCAACUACCAAGCUAUGUUUAGCAAGUUAUUAGUGCAUUUAUUUCAAUUGGCUAACUUUUUUAGUUUUUUCCAGCAUUUUUUAAACAAACCAUAGGUUAUAAUGAUAACUGGGUAUAUCUAAUUAAACCAAUCUGUCAUGUACACUCAUGCAAAUAAGACUAAGUACAUAAAUAACUGUAAAAAAUGUACUUUAGUAAAUAAAUGAAUAUUUAUUCAUACACUUGACCUACUUUGUGAGUAUUUUUUCAGAUUAAAAUUAAUGCAACAAUAAAACAAGAAGAUGUCUAUUUAUAUAAUAUUUAUUAAAUUGAUCAGAGAUCCCACAUCAGCUCAGAAACCACUGCCAGCAGGGAAAGAUCCCACAAUAACAUGCCACUUAAUUUGUUAUAUGAUACAUAAAAACUUAUUUUAUUGCUUUAAAACAAGUGAAACUCUCUGCUGGCUUGAAAUGGGCUGUUAUGACACUGAUUUGUCCAUGCUGAGGAUUCCGCAGCUCGAUUUGCCACAAGAACCCCAGUAUCAGGCGAUCAGCUCGUCUUGAAAUACGGACACGAUCCAGUCGCGUCGGCCAAAGACAACAAAACUUUGAAAAUCGCACAGAUAUAAAUUCUAAAAAAAUAUUAAAACAACUCCUAAGUCUUCUAAAUAAUAUUUUAACACUUUAACAAAAAUU